GGUAAAAUGGCCGAAUGCUUAGGUGGUGGGUUGUAGUCCCAUCAACAGGGGUUUGAUUCCUCUUUUUACCA
rnacentral:tRNA from 1 species